rnacentral:sRNA from 1 species
UUCACUAACCCCGCCCUGAAAGGGACGGGGAUUGACCGAACCAAUUCGGUUGACGUAAGCGGUGAAUAGCCCAUUGAGGCUCAACUUGGCACAGACCUCCGGUUGCUUCCCUAGACCGGAUUCACUCUAAGCCUGAUUGGUUCAGGCGUUGUAAGCCAAGACAUCUUAGUUGAGCUGGGCGAAGGGACUUGAACAAAGCAAUUUG